rnacentral:sRNA from 1 species
CAUGAUACCAGUAGUCCUUUGCUAAUCAGUGGAACCUCUGCAGCCGAGCUCCCAUGGGCUGUAAAACCUGAAGAUAAGGCCAAAUAUGAUGCAAUAUUUGAUAGUUUAAGCCCAGUGAAUGGAUUUCUAUCUGGUGAUAAAGUGAAACCGGUGUUGCUCAACUCUAAGUUACCUGUGGAUAUCCUUGGAAGAGUUUGGGAGUUGAGUGAUAUUGACCAUGAUGGAAUGCUUGAUAGAGAUGAGUUUGCAGUUAUUUUCCUCAUUUUCCACAAGAGCCAAAUGAAAUAGGCAGAAUACAUAUUACCACAUUUUAAAAAUGCAGAAAGACAAACUUAAAGUGACUUGAAUUCAUGUUCACAGACGGAGUCUCACUCUGUCACUCAGGCUGGAGUGCAGUGGCAGGAUCUCGGCUCACUGCAGCCUCAGCCUCCUGGGUUCAAGUGAUUCUUCCACCUCAGCCUCCUGAGGAGCUGGGAUUACAGGCAUGCACCACCACCCCCGGCUAAUUUUUAUAUUUUUAAUAGAGACAGGGUUUCGCCAUGUUUGCCAGACUGGUCUCGAGCUCCUGAUAAUAGGUGAUCCACUCGCCUCCUCGGCCUCCCAAAGUGCUGGGAUUACAGGCAUGAGCCACCUCUUCAGGCCCAAAACAAAAAUAGAGUAGAUGGUGAAUAGUAGUGUCAUCAUUUGAUAAACAG